AUUGAACGCUGGCGGCAGGCCUAACACAUGCAAGUCGAGCGGAGCGGCGGACGGGUGAGUAAUGCCUAGGAAUCUGCCUGGUAGUGGGGGAUCACGUCCGGAAACGUGCGCUAAUACCGCAUACUAUCAGAUGAGCCUAGGUCGGAUUAGCUAGUUGGUGGGGUAAAGGCUUACCAAGGAGACGAUCCGUAACUGGUCGGAGAGGAUGAUCAGUCACACUGGAACUGAUACACGGUCCAGACGUCGACGGGAGGCAGCAGUGGGGAAGAUUUGACAAUGGGCGAAAGCCUGAUACAGCCAUGCCGCGUGUGUGAAGAAGGUCUUCGGAUUGUAAAGCACUUUAAGUUGGGAGGCGUUACCAACAGAAUAAGCACCGGCUAACUUCGUGCCAGCAGCCGCGGUAAUAC
rnacentral:rRNA from 1 species